GAAUCCCAAGAGGGGCUCUGCGCUGUCAGCCCAGAGGCCGAUGCGGGGCUAAUCCCACAAACUAUGAGAUCAUGACCUGAGCUGAAAUCAAGAGUUGGAUGCUUAACUGACUGAGCCACCCAGGUGCCCUGGAAUCUAAUCUUAACCAAUUCAAGCAUGUAGAAUGAAAACAGGAGUAAAACAGAACCCAAAGGAGGAUUAUAGCCCGGGAGGAAGGGAAAUCAGAUUGAGAAGGAAUAAUCAGUGAUAUGAGGAAAACCGGGAGGAAAUUGUACCUGGAAAGCUUAAAAACUAUCUAAAAGAAGGGGGAAAUAAAGCAUUAGAUAUUACUGAACUGAUAUGAGGACCAAGAGAUAUCUCAUGCUUCUCAAACUUGAAUGCGCAUAGGAAUCAUUUGGUGUCUCAUUAACAUGCACACUAUGAUUCAGGAGGUCUGGAUGUGGAAGUUCUAAAAAGGUCCCAGGUGAUGUCCAUGUCAAUGCUACCGGUCCACUUGGAGUGGCAAAAGUUGAGGCCAGAGUGGUUCUCAAAGCACUGUUCCUGAACCAGCAACAUCAGCAUCCCCAGGAACCUGUUAGACACGCACAUUAGUGGCUGCGUCCAGACCCACAGAAUCAGAGAGAGGGGAGAUGGGGUGGGGCGUAAGGCAGAGGUGGGGCGGCAAUCUGUUUCAACAAGCUCACCAGGUGAUUCUGAUGCACGCUGAAGACUGACAGCCACUGGUGAGAGCAAUGAUAACAAUAAUAAUAAUGACCACCACAGACAUUGAUCACCAGCUUUGGGCCAGGCCUGUUAACACAUUUCUUACAUCAUCUUAUUAGGUCCUCACAACAAUUUCUUUCAUCGAUGAGGAAAAUAAGACUGAGAGAGGUUAAGUACUUUGCCAAGGUCAUACAACUAGCAAGUUGUAGAUCCAAGAAACCACGUCUGUCUGGCACCCAGUUCUGUUCUCAGGCUGCUUUGCCAACUCACCCUCAAGGGUCAACAGUGAUAUCACUAUAAACAAUUUCAGCAAGUAUGAAGUCAGAAGCAGAUUGCGGCAGCUUUGGAAGGGAGGGAGUGGAGAAGUGGGUGCAGAAUACUUUUUUCAAAAACUUAGAGUUUGAAGGAGAGGAGAGAAAGUGAAACCUGGAAGCCUAAAGACCUCGGCAUAACAUGAAAACUUCCUGGUCUCUCCACUAUGGACGCCCAGGCCAUUGGAAAGGAAGCCCAAAUGAAAGCCCUCUGCCUUCCAAGAAAAUGAACAGAACUCACCAGAGAAAUAGCAUUUCAACCUGGUGGUGCCUUUGGAAGCAGGGCUAUUAACAGUAGACCACUAGGAGGCAGCAUGGAACUGGGAAUCAGGAGCCUGGGCUCUGGUACUGCUCUGCACUGGCCGUCCCCAUGAUUGUCAGGUAAACUCUUUGAGCUUCACUUUCCAAAUCAUAAACACGCCACAAUUUUGCAACAGCUAUUGUUUUUAGAAUUUGGUUAAGACUGUGACCCACUUGGAAGGCAUACUGUACGGAGACACUGGUUGGGAGUACAAGGGUAGGCCACCAAGGGUCUAUUUGUGUGAAAGAAGCUGGAGCUUCCUGGGGACUCUCCAUUCUUGGGCACAAUGGUUUGGUCCAAGCGCAGCAAGUGUCAGGAUAAGGAAGGGCCUUUGAGUACAGCCAGGAGUGUGUUGCUCCCUCAGCCCUCCAGCUUCUUCCUACACCUAAUGUGGGAUGUGACAUGGUCAGUUCUUAGGGCAGGGUAUAUGCAGGUAAAUAUCCUGUUAGUUUGUAAGAAGACAUGAUUGCCUCAGGGAUCAGAAUACUCCUAUCUCUGCACAAGUGGGGCAAAGCACUGAAUCUCUCUGUGACUCCACCUUCUUCAUGUCUAAAAUGGGGGAAAUAAUAGUAUCUAUUUUCCAAAAUUGUCGUGAAGAUUAAACGAGUUAACACAUAAAGCAUUUGACAGAGUGCCAGACGCAUAGUGAGCACUUGGGUGUUAGCUGUUUUGAAAAUGCACUUGCCU